rnacentral:misc_RNA from 1 species
GUGAAUCAUCGAAUCUUUGAACGCACAUUGCACUUUCUGGUAUUCCGGGAAGUAUGCCUGUUUGAGGGUCAGUUAAAUAAAAAUCGGUGUUGUUGCUGCUUUUCGUGGUGACGUGUCGGAAUUGAGUUGUUUUAAAUUCGGUUAAGUGACUUAUAAUAUUGCAUGAUUUUCGAACGUAUUUAAAUUUAUUACGUACGUUUGAGAUAUCGAAUACUUUAUUAGGUUCGGUCAUCUACAUGCAUCGUACAUAUAAUUUUUCAUUAAAUGACAU